GCAUCUACCGAUUGAAUGGAGAGGUAAAAUCUCCGGACUAUGUCGCGUUGGGGUCAAACCUAAUGCAGUCGUGGGAAGUGGAUUAAACCUUUCCAUUUAGAGGAAGAUGAAGUCGUAACAAGGUUUCCGUAGGUGAACCUGCAGAAGGAUCAUAUCUGUCUAGCGUCCUUUAGGGUAUGAUUGUAUUUCUCGGUUUUCUCCGUAUCUUUAUAUAUUUUUUUUCUUUUUUCCUCUUUUUUUUUCUUCUCUUUUCUUUUCUUUUUUUUUUUUUUUCUUU
rnacentral:misc_RNA from 1 species